UUUGUUCUGUAGAGCGCAGUUCAUUCGUUUAGUAUACUCCAUGCUCGACAGCACAAUCAUUCGCAGGUCGUGUAUGUGAUUAAAUUGUGUAUUAGGUAUCAAAAAUACAUGAAACAGAAGACAAAGUUGAAGAGAAGAACGGAGUCACGACUUCUGAACAUCAUUUCCAUAUUGUCUUCAGAAAUGCCAAUUCGAAGUUUCUACCAAUGCCUGUGAUUGGUCGUUCCAUUACGGCGUCCUCCUAUUUAGACCAAUCAGAUUCAUCGUUGAAGGGUUUGUUGCGCGGAGUGUGGUGGAGUGCCUAGUCCUCUUCGAAGCUUCGUCCCGUUUGACACGUGUUUGCAACAGGUAUCGGCCGACAGAGGAAUAUACCGAACAAUGCCGAGCGAUGCCGACCGGUCUCCGGCAGGAAUGAAGGUCUCGCCAUUUCUCUCGCAAACGUCGAAGUGACAAGACGUGUUGAGAGCAUCCUUCCGUAUAAGUAAUAGAUAAUUGAUGAAUAUUAAAAACACGCCAUAACACCUGAUAUGAGUAUG